rnacentral:rRNA from 1 species
AGUGAACGCUGGCGGUAGGCCUAACACAUGCAAGUCGAACGGCAGCACAGUAAGAGCUUGCUCUUACGGGUGGCGAGUGGCGGACGGGUGAGGAAUACAUCGGAAUCUACUUUUUCGUGGGGGAUAACGUAGGGAAACUUACGCUAAUACCGCAUACGACCUACGGGUGAAAGCAGGGGAUCUUCUGACCUUGCGCGAUUGAAUGAGCCGCUGUCGGAUUAGCUAGUUGGCGGGGUAAAGGCCCACCAAGGCGACGAUCCGUAGCUGGUCUGAGAGGAUGGUCAGCCACACUGGAAGUGAGACACGGUCCAGAGUCCUACGGGAGGCAGCAGUGGGGAAUAUUGGACAAUGGGCGCAAGCCUGAUCCAGCCAUACCGCGUGGGUGAAGAAGGCCUUCGGGUUGGAAAGCCCUUUUGUUGGGAAAGAAAAGCAGCAGGUUAAUACCCCGCUGUUCUGACGGUACCCAAAGAAUAAGCACCGGCUAACUUCGUG